rnacentral:rRNA from 1 species
CCUACGGGUGGCAGCAGUGGGGAAUAUUGGGCAAUGGGCGCAAGCCUGACCCAGCAACGCCGCGUGAAGGAUGAAGGCCUUCGGGUUGUAAACUUCUUUUGUCAGGGACGAAGAAAGUGACGGUACCUGACGAAUGAGCCACGGCUAACUACGUGCCAGCAGCCGCGGUAAUACGUAGGUGGCGAGCGUUAUCCGGAUUUGCUGGGUGUAAAGGGCGUGUAGGCGGGUGAGCAAGUCAGACGUGAAAUUCCAGGGCUCAACCCUGGAACUGCGUUGGAAACUGUUCUUCUUGAGUGAUGGAGAGGAAGGUGGAAUGCCGUGUGUAGCGGUGAAAUGCGUAGAUAUACGGAGGAACACCAGUGGCGAAGGCGGCCUGCUGGACAUUAACUGACGCUGAGGCGCGAAAGCGUGGGGAGCAAACAGGAUUAGAUACCCCUGUAGUC